UUUACAAUUUACAGUUAUAUGAGUUAAUAAAUAAUUUUGUUAUUCACGUAAAGCAAACAACUAACAAAACCGGGGUAGAAUCCGAGUAUGCUAAUUUUUAUAGGUAUUAAAAGUAAACCUAAAUUGUGUGGCAGUUAUUUAUUCUUUUUAGAGAAUUUUGGUUUAUAAUUUGAUAAUCCACAAUAUUAUUUACUGAAUUUUAGUUUAUGUGUGGUUGUCAAGAAAUAAAAGUCAUUUUAAAUUUUCCCCAAAUAACAUAUAGUUUAAUUCAGGAAAACUGAAAUGCAGUGUGAUUUUAUGUUAAAUAAAUAAAAAGUAUUUAAUAGUAGGAAAAAAAAAUCGAAUAAGUUAUAAAUAAGGUUCAUAUUGUCCGUCACUCUCCUUAGAGAUAAGUCGUA
rnacentral:rRNA from 1 species